rnacentral:sRNA from 1 species
GCGUGCCGUCUAUUCCUGCGGGACUGUCAGGAAUUCUGUGCGGUGGGCCGGUUUCAUCAGUUGAAGAACCGCUCGCCAAAGAUGACGGCGAACUGUGU